rnacentral:misc_RNA from 1 species
ACUCUUCAACCCACGAGUUUCUAGUGAACUGUUGUGGUGUUUGGAUUUUGAGCGUUGCUAGUCUGACUAGCUCGUUCGUAAUACAUUAGCAUCUCUAAUUCGAAUUCGGAUUGACUCAGUGUAAUAGACUAUUCGCUGAGGACACUUUUAUUAGUGGCCGGACUAGAAACCAGUAGAAGCUUCCAACUAUUGUAGUCAUUUCUAU